rnacentral:rRNA from 1 species
GACGAACCGUGCGAACGUUAUUCGGAAUCACUGGGCUUAAAGCGCGUGUAGGCGGACGGGGACGUCGGUCGCUGAAAUCCCCCGGCUCAACCGGGGAACGGGCGCCGAAACGCCCCGUCUCGAGGGACGUAGGGGGACCUGGAACUUCCGGUGGAGCGGUGAAAUGCGUUGAGAUCGGAAGGAACGCCCGUGGCGAAAGCGAGGUCCUGGACGUCUACUGACGCUGAGACGCGAAAGCUAGGGAGCGAAC